GAAGCACGCCGGACCGCCGCUGGUGCAUGUCUCGAAAGAGCGCACUGGAGGAACGUCCGGACUGCACAGGACAGCGCAGGAGCUAACGGCUCUCCACCGCGAGGUGAGGAUCAGAGCAACAGAGACGAGUCGGCCGGGGGCAACUCCGGUCGGGUGAAACGGGCAAUCUCUGCGCGCAGCAACACCAAGUAGGCCAGCGUCGAUGUGGUUCCGCAGAGCUGGCGGGUAGGUGGCACCGAGCCGUUUGGUGACAAACGGCCCAGAGUAAUGGCGGUCACGUUGAGGUUCGCAAGAACUUCAGCGCACAGAAUCCGGCUUAUAGGCGUGCUUCACAC
rnacentral:RNase_P_RNA from 1 species